UUGAGAAAUCAACCAAUAAUUCUUUAAGCAAUAUCACAGCAAACACAGCCUUCAGGAAAUACCACACUCAACACAACCUACAGGUAAUACCACACUCUACACAACCUACAGGUAAUACCACACUCUACACAACCUACAGGUAAUACCACACUCUACACAACCUACAGGUAAUACCACACUCUACACAUCCUACAGGUAAUACCACACUCCACACAACCUACAGGAAAUACCACACUCUACACAACCUACAGGUAAUACCACACUCCACACAACCUACAGGUAAUACCACACUCCACACAACCUACAGGUAAUAUCACACCCCACACAACCUACAGGUCAUACCACACUCUACACAACCUACAGGUAAUACCACACUCCACACAACCUACAAGUAAUACCACACUCUACACAACCUACAGGUAAUACCACACUCCACACAACCUACAGGUAAUACCACACUCCACACAACCUACAGGUAAUACCACACUCUACACAACCUACAGGUAAUACCACACUCCACAACCUACAGGUAAUACCACACUCUACACAACCUACAGGUAAUACCACACUCCACACAACCUACAGGUAAUACCACACUCCACACAACCUACAGGUAAUACCACGCCCCACACAACCUACAGGUAAUACCACACUCUACACAACCUAUAGGUAAUACCACACUCCACACAACCUACAGGUAAUACCACACUCUACACAACCUACAGGUAAUACCACACUCUACACAACCUACAGGUAAUACCACACUCCACACAACCUACAGGUAAUACCACACUCCACAACCUACAGGUAAUACCACACUCCACAACCUACAGGUAAUACCACACUCUACACAACCUACAGGUAAUACCACACUCUACACAACCUACAGGUAAUACCACACCCCACACAACCUACAGGUAAUACCACACUCCACAACCUACAGGUAAUACCACACUCUACACAACCUACAGGUAAUACCACACUCCACACAACCUACAGGUAAUACUACACUCCACACAACCUACAGGUAAUACCACACUCCACACAACAUACAGGUCAUACCACACUCUACACAACCUACAGGUAAUACCACACUCCACACAACCUACAGGUAAUACCACACUCUACACAACCUACAUGUAAUACCACACUCUACACAACCUACAGGUAAUACCACACUCUACACAACCUACAUGUAAUACCACACUCUACACAACCUACAGGUAAUACCACACUCCACACAACCUACAGGUCAUACCACACUCUACACAACCUACAGGUAAUACCACACUCCACACAACCUACAGGUAAUACCACACUCUACACAACCUACAUGUAAUACCACACUCUACACAACCUACAGGUAAUACCACACUCUACACAACCUACAUGUAAUACCACACUCUACACAACCUACAGGUAAUACCACACUCCACACAACCUACAGGUAAUACCACACUCUACACAACCUACAGGUAAUACCACACCCCACACAACCUACAGGUAAUACCUGUAACACUCCACACAACCUACAGGUAAUACCACACUCUACACAACCUACAGGUAAUACCACACUCUACACAACCUACAGGUAAUACCACACUCUACACAACAUACAGGUAAUACCACACUCCACACAACCUACAGGUAAUACCACACUCUACACAACAUACAGGUAAUACCACACUCCACACAACCUACAGGUAAUACCACAAAAAUCUUCUUUUCAAGACCCAAAUAAGGUAUACUUUAUAAAGGGAAAUAACUUUUUUAACAUCAUUUGUUGAUUUACUAUUUGAAAUAAUUCAAACUUGGCUAGAAUAUUAGUAUGGUAUGAUAAUUUGAUGGUAUGUACAGAUUGGCCCUGACUCAGUGACCCCCUCCCCUCUCCCAGGGGCUGAAGGCGGAGGUCAAAUGGAUCAGAUUGUCUGAUAAAUUUGGCAUUGACCA